UGCAAAUGAUGUUUUCUCACGAUGGUCUUCCAAGUCUCGAAGAGACUCUGACGACACUGCCUUACGGCAUCACUGAUGCAGCAAA